GGGCUUCGGGGGUUGGUGGCAUCAGGCGUCGGUGGUCGUGGACGGGGGGUCGGUGGUCGGGGUCCUCUUCUUUCUUCUUCUCCUCUCUCCUCUUUUUAUUCUUCUUCUUCUUCUUCUUCUUUAUCAUCUUAUUACUAUUAUUAUUAUUCUUUUUCUCCUCCUCCUCCUCCUCUUCUAACAGUAACCUAAUUAACACUAAACUAAUAGUAACCUAAUUAACCUAAACUAACAAUAACCUAAUUAACCUUAAAUAACAUUAACCUAAUUAACACUGAAAAUAACCUAAACUAACAGAUGCAAUGAAAUGAAAAAAAGAAAAAAA
rnacentral:lncRNA from 1 species